rnacentral:rRNA from 1 species
GGACCUGACUGCUAUCGGAUUGAUANUAAGCCAUGCGAGUCUUUGCAGUAAUGCAAGGCAUACGGCUCAGUAACACGUAGUCAACCUAACCUAUGGACGGGAAUAACCUCGGGAAACUGAGAAUAAUGCCCGAUAGAACAUUAUGCCUGGAAUGGUUUAUGUUCCAAAUGAUUUAUCGCCGUAGGAUGGGACUGCGGCCUAUCAGUUUGUUGGUGAGGUAAUGGCCCACCAAGACUAUUACAGGUACGGGCUCUGAGAGGAGUAGCCCGGAGAUGGGUACUGAGACACGGACCCAGGCCCUAUGGGGCGCAGCAGGCGAGAAAACUUUGCAAUGUGCGAAAGCACGACAAGGUUAAUCCGAGUGGUUUCUGCUAAAGAAACCUUUUGUCAGUCCUAGAAACACUGAUGAAUAAGGGGUGGGCAAGUUCUGGUGU